GCGCGGCGAAUACAAGGCGCGCGAGCGCGAGCUUUCGCGCGCCGGCAAGAGUUCGUGUAGUUUGGCCUUUAAACUUGAACACUUCUGCCACGAUGCGUUGUGCCAUGUGAGGCAAUGACAAGGCUAAACCCCUUGGGGGUAAUGAACAAUGGUGCGCAACAACGCUUCGAGCAAUCACUUCUCGCUGUGUGUGAUGUGUACUACGCGGACAAACAGCAGUGGUGCACGCAAGGACGCUGGGAUACCUGCGCAUAUUCUGUGGCCGACAUCUGCAGCUAGCGCAGCGAGAGUCUUCUAGAGUGCCACAUUUUUUAAUAUCGUGCCGCCUUUCGUCUAUCCCCAGCGCCUAGCAAUCUCCGCGGCGUCCAGGAACCUGCACGAACCCGCUACAGACAUCGAAGUGCGCAAAUAUGAGGGCUUCCGGCAAGGACCAGCGCCGUAGUGAAGACUCCAUUGUACGGCGCGAGCUGGACCGCCACGCGGACGACGUUUCUAGCAUAGAUACAACGUUGAGAGAGGCUGCCCCAGGCUGCGAUGGCGAAGUUGACAACAGCGACGCGACGGACUGUGUCAGCAGCGAGGUGCAGCGUACUGAGCGAGUGUGCCGUCCUGCUUUGCUGGUGGAGCGCGUUGACAAGGCAGUUCAGUGUGAACUGGAGUCGAGCAGCUUUUUGGACGAGUUGUGUGCGCGGCAUGGGCUGCGCAUAGAAUAACUGACUGCACAGGGACUGCCAUCAUGCUACGAUGUUCGGCUCGAAGAGGCAAACCCACUGCCUGUCACUCGUCAUGAAAUUGUGUGUGAACAGUUGUGGUGUUGUUUUUGUUGCUGUGCUGUUCGAAGGUGUUAUGCUGGAAGCUUUUUCUUUUACAUUUGACUUGCCCGAGUGAUCUGUUUGCCAAGCAUGCUAUGCUUCAUUUUGUUUGACCAGUUUGUUGCAUCACAUCGUGUGGACCAGUUAUUCCCUGCAAUAAAUCACUUUCGUCAUGUA